AAGUCUUGGUUUUUUUUUUCUUAAAUCUUAGAAGUCACAUGUCACAAACGUAGUUGUUAUGAUCUGUGUCAUUCUGUGAUGUUUGAAGUUAUGUUUUUUUUUGUGGCGAAAAUUUAGAUGUGAAUGGUUCUUCAGAAUGUAGACAAUUCUACAGUUACACUUAAGAGAUGAAGAUGAGGUAAAAUGGACGCACCGGAUUAUAAUGUACUUUCUUGGGAAUUCAAGGAUUGAAUCAUUCAUAACAAGUAGUACAUCUACCACACAAAAACCCAUUGUACCUGAUGACACAAAGUAUGUUGUAGUUCCUCUGGUUGUGAUAGUUCUGGUAAUGAUUCUUUCUAUUUUGGUUUAUCUAAUGGCUAGAAGGAGAAGGAUAAAUAAAUUGAGAAAAAACAUACUUAGUCUAUAUGAGUUUGAUUCAAAUGAACAUGAAUGGGAAUCAUUGGCAAGUAAUGAGUAUUCAUAUUACACAAAUGAUAUUGAAACAUCAUUGUAGCAUAAACAAUUUGAUAGAAGUGUUGUGCAACUAGUAAUAUUUUUUGCUGGUUUUAGUUUUCCAAAUACUUUAAAAAUGUUAAUGUUAUUGGUGCUAAUUGACAUUGUUAAUAAUCAAAUGAAUAUAAUUUCAAUUAAAGGUA